GGAUGCGAUCAUACCAGCACUAAAGCACCGGAUCCCAUCAGAACUUCGAAGUUAAGCGUGCUUGGGCGAGAGUAGUACUAGGAUGGGUGACCUCCUGGGAAGUCCUUGUUUUGCAUUCC
rnacentral:rRNA from 1 species